UACGUAGGGUCCGAGCGUUGUCCGGAGUGACUGGGCGUAAAGCGCGCGCAGGCGGCCUGCGAGGUGUCACGUGAAAGCCCCGUGCUCAACGCGGGAGGGUCGUGGCAACCGGCAGCUUGAGGCCGGUAGAGGGUGGGUGGAACUCCUGGUGGAGUGGUGAAAUGCGUAGAGAUCAGGAAGAACACCCGUGGCGAAGGCGGCCCACUGGGCCGGACCUGACGCUGAGGCGCGAAGGACGUGGGGAGCGAACGGG
rnacentral:rRNA from 1 species